GCCUCGGUGGCUCAGUUUGGAAGAGCGAGUGACUUGUAAUCACUAGGUCGAGGGUUCAAAUCCCUCCCGGGGCU
rnacentral:tRNA from 2 species